UACGUAGGGUGCGAGCGUUGUCCGGAAUUAUUGGGCGUAAAGGGCUCGUAGGCGGUUUGUCGCGUCGGGAGUGAAAAUCCAGGGCUUAACUCUGGACUGGCUUUCGAUACGGGCAGACUAGAGGUAUGCAGGGGAGAACGGAAUUCCUGGUGUAGCGGUGAAAUGCGUAGAUAUCUGGAGGAACACCGGUGGCGAAGGCGGCAUCCUGGACCGGCAUUGACGCUGAGGCGCGAAAGCCAGGGGAGCAAACGGG
rnacentral:rRNA from 1 species